rnacentral:rRNA from 1 species
CAAUAGCGUAUAUUAAAGUUGUUGCGGUUAAAAAGCUCGUAGUUGGAUUUCUGCUGAGGACGAUCGGUCCGCCCUCUGGGUGAGUAUCUGGCUCGGCCUUGGCAUCUUCUUGGAGAACGUUACUGCACUUGACUGUGUGGUGCGGUAUCCAGGACUUUUACUUUGAGGAAAUUAGAGUGUUUCAAGCAGGCGCACGCCUUGAAUACAUUAGCAUGGAAUAAUAAGAUAGGACCUUGGUUCUAUUUUGUUGGUUUCUAGAGCUGAGGUAAUGAUUAAUAGGGAUAGUUGGGGGCAUUCGUAUUUAACUGUCAGAUGUGAAAUUCUUGGAUUUGUUAAAGACGGACUACUGCGAAAGCAUUUGCCAAGGAUGUUUUCAUUGA